rnacentral:rRNA from 1 species
GGUUGCGAUUAUACCAGCACUAAUGCACCGGAUCCCAUCAGAACUUUGCAGUUAAGCGUGCUUGGGCGAGAGUAGUACUAGGAUGGGUGACCCCCUGGGAAGUCCUCGUGUUGCAACCCC